rnacentral:rRNA from 1 species
UACGAAGGGUGCAAGCGUUGUUCGGAAUCAUUGGGCGUAAAGCGCGCGCAGGCGGAUCAGUAAGUCAGAUGUGAAAUCUCGGAGCUCAACUCCGAAACUGCGUCUGAAACUACUAGUCUAGAAUGUCGGAGGGGGGUAGGGGAAUUUCACGUGUAGGGGGUAAAAUCCGUAGAGAUGUGAAGGAACACCGGUGGCGAAGGCGCCUGCCUGGACGACUAUUGACGCUGAGGCGCGAAAGCGUGGGGAGCAAACAGG